GAGACCGCGGCGGCCAGAGACCCGGCCCGGCCGCCCGAGGCCGCCGGAAGGGUCCAGCGCUUUGCGAACGCGCGCGAGGCCCGGCGCUCCGGGGGCGCGGAGGAGACGGCCUGCGACCCGCGUCCUCGCCGCGCCCGCCCGCCCGCAGCGAAGGUUCUGGAGCAGGAUUUCAGGUGGACCUCUCUUAACUUCUGCUGAAACAAUAUCUGAAUGAUUCAUACCUUUGGAGAGAGUCACACCCAUUUCAUGCAGAAUCAGCUACAGUAAAGCUUUGCCUCUAAGACAAUUGCAGAGAGGCAUUGCCUGUGCAGCGGGAAGGCCCCACACACGCCCACACCCAGUGGGAACAGGCCGAGGCUUCGGCAUACUCACACAGCAGCAUC